UCUUGGUCAUUUUAGAGGAAGUAAAAGUCGUAACAAGGUUUCCGUAGGUGAACCUGCGGAAGGAUCAUUAUUGAAUAAACCUGAUGUGAUUGUUGCUGGUCCUCUCGGGGGCAUGUGCACAUCCGUCAUCUUUAUCUUUCCACCUGUGCACAUUUUGUAGAUCUGAAAUUUUUUCCGAGGCAACUCGUUUAGAGGGACUGCUGUGCGUCACUGCCAGCUUCCUUUGGAAUUUCAGGUCUAUGUUUUCAUAUACACCAUAAAAAUGUAAUAGAAUGUUAUUAUUGGGCCUUGUUGCCUAUAAACUAUAUACAACUUUCAGCAACGGAUCUCUUGGCUCUCGCAUCGAUGAAGAACGCAGCGAAAUGCGAUAAGUAAUGUGAAUUGCAGAAUUCAGUGAAUCAUCGAAUCUUUGAACGCACCUUGCGCUCCUUGGUAUUCCGAGGAGCAUGCCUGUUUGAGUGUCAUUAAAUUCUCAACCUUAUUAGCUUUUGUUGAUAAUGGCUUGGAUGUGGGGGUUUGCCGGUUUCUUACUGAGAUCAGCUCCCCUUAAAUGCAUUAGCUGGUUGCCUUGUGCAGACUUGUCUAUUGGUGUGAUAAUUAUCUACGCCGUGGACUUUCUGCCAGUUUUUAGCACCGCUUCUAACUGUCUGUUUACUCGGACAAUAUAUGACAAUUUGACCUCAAAUCAGGUAGGACUACCCGCUGAACUUAAGCAUAUCAAUAAAGCGGGA
rnacentral:sRNA from 1 species